UACGGGGGGGAGCAAGCGUUGUUCGGAUUUACUGGGCGUAAAGGGCGCGUAGGCGGCCACCGCAAGUCGACUGUGAAAUCUCCGGGCUUAACUCGGAAAGGUCAGCCGAUACUGCGGGGCUAGAGUGCAGAAGGGGCAACUGGAAUUCUCGGUGUAGCGGUGAAAUGCGUAGAUAUCGAGAGGAACACCUGCGGCGAAGGCGGGUUGCUGGGCUGACACUGACGCUGAUUGUGCGAAAGCUAGGGGAGCGAACGGG
rnacentral:rRNA from 1 species